GAUGAACGCUAGCGGCAGGCCUAAUACAUGCAAGUCGAACGGGAUCCAGAUCAAAGCUUGCUUUGGUCUGGUGAGAGUGGCGCACGGGUGCGUAACGCGUGAGCAACCUACCCUUGUCAGGGGGAUAGCCCGGCGAAAGUCGGAUUAAUACCGCAUGACAUCAUUGAGAGGCAUCUUUCGAUGAUCAAAGAUUUAUCGGACAAGGAUGGGCUCGCGUGACAUUAGCUAGUUGGUAAGGUAACGGCUUACCAAGGCUGCGAUGUCUAGGGGCUCUGAGAGGGGAAUCCCCCACACUGGUACUGAGACACGGACCAGACUCCUACGGGAGGCAGCAGUAAGGAAUAUUGGUCAAUGGACGGAAGUCUGAACCAGCCAUGCCGCGUGCAGGAAGACGGCCCUAUGGGUUGUAAACUGCUUUUAUACGGGAACAAACGUCGGUACGUGUACCGGUCUGAGUGUACCGUAAGAAUAAGGAUCGGCUAACUCCGUG
rnacentral:rRNA from 1 species